rnacentral:rRNA from 1 species
GCCUAACACAUGCAAGUCGAGCGAUGAAGUUUCCUUCGGGAAACGGAUUAGCGGCGGACGGGUGAGUAACACGUGAGCAACCUGCCUCAAAGAGGGGGAUAGCCUCCCGAAAGGGAGAUUAAUACCGCAUAAUAUCAGAAUUUCGCAUGAUUUUCUGAUUAAAGGAGUAAUCCACUUUGAGAUGGGCUCGCGGCGCAUUAGCUAGUUGGUGAGGUAACGGCUCACCAAGGCGACGAUGCGUAGCCGACCUGAGAGGGUGAUCGGCCACAUUGGGACUGAGACACGGCCCAGACUCCUACGGGAGGCAGCAGUGGGGAAUAUUGCGCAAUGGACGAAAGUCUGACGCAGCAACGCCGCGUGGGUGAUGAAGGUCUUCGGAUUGUAAAGCCCUGUCUUCGAGGACGAUAAUGACGGUAUCGAGGAGGAAGCCACGGCUAAC